AGACCCGAAACCCGGUGAUCUAGCCAUGGGCAGGUUGAAGGUUGGGUAACACUAACUGGAGGACCGAACCGACUAAUGUUGAAAAAUUAGCGGAUGACCUGUGGCUGGGGGUGAAAGGCCAAUCAAACCGGGAGAUAGCUGGUUCUCCCCGAAAGCUAUUUAGGUAGCGCCUCGUGAAUUCAUCUCCGGGGGUAGAGCACUGUUUCGGCUAGGGGGCCAUCCCGGCUUACCAACCCGAUGCAAACUGCGAAUACCGGAGAAUGUUAUCACGGGAGACACACGGCGGGUGCUAACGUCCGUCGUGAAGAGGGAAACAACCCAGACCGCCAGCUAAGGUCCCAAAGUCAUGGUUAAGUGGGAAACGAUGUGGGAAGGCCCAGACAGCCAGGAUGUUGGCUUAGAAGCAGCCAUCAUUUAAAGAAAGCGUAAUAGCUCACUGGUCGAGUCGGCCUGCGCGGAAGAUGUAACGGGGCUAAACCAUGCACCGAAGCUGCGGCAGCGACGCUGAUGCGUUGUUGGGUAGGGGAGCGUUCUGUAAGCCUGCGAAGGUGGCCUGUGAGGGUUGCUGGAGGUAUCAGAAGUGCGAAUGCUGACAUAAGUAACGAUAAAGCGGGUGAAAAGCCCGCUCGCCGGAAGACCAAGGGUUCCUGUCCAACGUUAAUCGGGGCAGGGUGAGUCGACCCCUAAGGCGAGGCCGAAAGGCGUAGUCGAUGGGAAACGGGUUAAUAUUCCCGUACUUGGUGUUACUGCGAAGGGGGGACGGAGAAGGCUAUGUUGGCCGGGCGACGGUUGUCCCGGUUUAAGCGUGUAGGUGUGUGUUCCAGGUAAAUCCGGUUCACUUUAACACUGAGGCGUGAUGACGAGGCACUACGGUGCUGAAGCAACAAAUGCCCUGCUUCCAGGAAAAGCCUCUAAGCAUCAGGUAACAUCAAAUCGUACCCCAAACCGACACAGGUGGUCAGGUAGAGAAUACCAAGGCGCUUGAGAGAACUCGGGUGAAGGAACUAGGCAAAAUGGUGCCGUAACUUCGGGAGAAGGCACGCUGACACGUAGGUGAAGUGAUUUACUCAUGGAGCUGAAGUCAGUCGAAGAUACCAGCUGGCUGCAACUGUUUAUUAAAAACACAGCACUGUGCAAACACGAAAGUGGACGUAUACGGUGUGACGCCUGCCCGGUGCCGGAAGGUUAAUUGAUGGGGUCAGCGCAAGCGAAGCUCCUGAUCGAAGCCCCGGUAAACGGCGGCCGUAACUAUAACGGUCCUAAGGUAGCGAAAUUCCUUGUCGGGUAAGUUCCGACCUGCACGAAUGGCGUAAUGAUGGCCAGGCUGUCUCCACCCGAGACUCAGUGAAAUUGAACUCGCUGUGAAGAUGCAGUGUACCCGCGGCAAGACGGAAAGACCCCGUGAACCUUUACUAUAGCUUGACACUGAACAUUGAGCCUUGAUGUGUAGGAUAGGUGGGAGGCUUUGAAGUGUGGACGCCAGUCUGCAUGGAGCCGGCCUUGAAAUACCACCCUUUAAUGUUUGAUGUUCUAACGUGGACCCGUGAUCCGGGUUGCGGACAGUGUCUGGUGGGUAGUUUGACUGGGGCGGUCUCCUCCUAAAGAGUAACGGAGGAGCACGAAGGUUGGCUAAUCCUGGUCGGACAUCAGGAGGUUAGUGCAAUGGCAUAAGCCAGCUUGACUGCGAGCGUGACGGCGCGAGCAGGUGCGAAAGCAGGUCAUAGUGAUCCGGUGGUUCUGAAUGGAAGGGCCAUCGCUCAACGGAUAAAAGGUACUCCGGGGAUAACAGGCUGAUACCGCCCAAGAGUUCAUAUCGACGGCGGUGUUUGGCACCUCGAUGUCGGCUCAUCACAUCCUGGGGCUGAAGUAGGUCCCAAGGGUAUGGCUGUUCGCCAUUUAAAGUGGUACGCGAGCUGGGUUUAGAACGUCGUGAGACAGUUCGGUCCCUAUCUGCCGUGGGCGCUGGAGAACUGAGGGGGGCUGCUCCUAGUACGAGAGGACCGGAGUGGACGCAUCACUGGUGUUCGGGUUGUCAUGCCAAUGGCACUGCCCGGUAGCUAAAUGCGGAAGAGAUAAGUGCUGAAAGCAUCUAAGCACGAAACUUGCCCCGAGAUGAGUUCUCCCUGAGACUUAGAGUCUCCUGAAGGAACGUUGAAGACGACGACGUUGAUAGGCCGGGUGUGUAAGCGCAGCGAUGCGUUGAGCUAACCGGUAC
rnacentral:rRNA from 1 species